GACGAACGCUGGCGGCGUGCUUAACACAUGCAAGUCGAGCGGUAAGGCCCUUUCGGGGGUACACGAGCGGCGAACGGGUGAGUAACACGUGGGUGACCUGCCCUCAGCUCUGGGAUAAGCCUGGGAAACUGGGUCUAAUACUGGAUAUGACUCCACGGUGCAUGUCGUGGGGUGGAAAGCCUUGUGCGGCUGAGGAUGGGCCCGCGGCCUAUCAGCUUGUUGGUGGGGUGANGGCCUACCAAGGCGACGACGGGUAGCCGGCCUGAGAGGGCGACCGGCCACACUGGGACUGAGACGCGGCCCAGACUCCUACGGGAGGCAGCAGUGGGGAAUCUUGCGCAAUGGGCGAAAGCCUGACGCAGCGACGCCGCGUGAGGGAUGACGGCCUCGGUGU
rnacentral:rRNA from 1 species